CCGGAGCGUUUCAGUGGGGAAGGAGCUGACUUCGGCGCACGGCCAGGCACUAUGUGGGAUCGUGAGUCCCCUUUCCCCUCUUUGAUUCAAUUCAUUUUACCGAAAAAGGCUUUUGCCCCACUUUAUAUAUAAAUCAAUGGUUGACAUACAAGCUGCAAAACACCCGACACACACACACACCAGAGGACCGGUGGAGGCUCAUGUAGAGGGCGGCGGCGGUGUUGGUGGCCGGAGCGUUUCAGUGGGGAAGGAGCUGACUUCGGCGCACGGCCAGGCACUGUGUGGGCUCGCUGCAAAACACCCGACACCACACACACCAGAGGCAGAUACAAGGGAGCUGGCGAACAACAACAGUACUCCAAACACCCCAAAGCAAACAAGUAGGCAGAAGAGCAUAGCUAAGGAUCUAAAGAGCUCUCCACCGUGAAUAGUCUUUGCGAGGAGACGAAACCGCAACUCGACGGAACUAGGGACUCCAAAGCGGUGCUUCCACAAAACAAACGACACUAAAGAGCCACCACCGCCUGAUCCAGAGAAUUGAGGUUUUCGCCCGGAGUAACACGAAGGACGCAGGGCCACUGCGAUGGAGCCUUCAAAGAAGGGAACGACGCAUGAACGCCGCCGCCAUUGGUCUGGCCCGAGCUAGACGAGAUUUUCACCCCGGCCACCACCCUCCGCCUCCGCCCAGGGUACGACCCUACAUGAGAGCGCCGGCUGCAGCACCAUCGAGAACGUCGAAGCCCGCCCCCAUGCCGCCCACACGGCCAUGACAACAAGCCCGUCCGUGCCCGAGCCAUGAGCUCCGCCCACGAGCCCGCAACUCCCACCACCAAGGGCAACGCAUCUAGACACUCCAAAUACCAUCAAAGGCACGAGCUUUGAUCCAACUAGCAGAUCCCUAGCACCAUCGGAGCCCCCAAUGACCGACCCGCCACGAACAACGGUCGGCGGCUAGGAGGCACGAGGCCAGGAAAAGGCUCCCGCCACCAAGGGCAAUGCAUCUAGACACUCCAAAGACCAUCAAAGGCACGAGCUUUGAUCCAACUAGCAGAUCCCUAGCACCAUCGGAGCCCCCAAUGACCGACCUGCCGCGAACAACGGUCGGCGGCUAGGAGGCAUGAGGCCAGGAAAAGGCGAGGGGGAGUGGAGCUCGUCCAGACCGGUGCACCCCUGUGUCGGUGACAGGUAGUCGGUCUACCCAUCCCUCCAGCAGCCUCCCCUGCGUCAUCCCUAACGCCCUACCACGGCCUCCGGCAAGAACCAAGCGAGGAAGAGGCGGCCACCCCUCCGUCGGCGAGGGCCGACCGCACCCUGUCGCUGAAGAAGGCCUCCAGAGGAGCGCCAAUCACCACCACACCACCUGUGCCUCCACGCCCUGGCCAGGUCCAGCCGAUGCCCCGUCACCCCAUCGGAGUAGAGUGAACACCAGCUGCAGCACCACCACCUUAGAAGGCCCGCCGACCACCCCUGCCGCCGCCAACCGCCACUACCAGCCGGAUCUGGACAGGGGCAGCCAGAUACGCCGCCAGCACGCCCCCGAGCCUCCAGGUCCCACGAGCCGAGGUGGAGGUGGAGGAGAGGAGGCGGCGGCAAUCCACCAGGAUGCCAGGAGGAGGGAGGAAGCCAGAGCAGAGGCUGGCCCGAUGCCCGAUGCCACCGAGCAGGGCAGGCACCCCGCGACGUCCGCCACCUGUGCGCGGGAGGAAGCAGCCCCGCCAUAGCCUGCGCCACGCGGCCUUUGCCUGGCGAUGCCACCGGCGGCAGCGGUGGAGGGGGGAGUGAGUUGGGGGCGGCGGCGCUAGGGUUGCCUCCCGGGGGCGCCCGCGGGAGCGCCUUGGGAGGGGAGGGUGGGUCUGGCCUCAUUCAAUUCAUUUUCGAGGAAGAUCAGGCACCUCAUUCCCGUCUGAGAGCCAAAAACCGGUUUUCCUUAGUGUCCAAGUGCAGCUGUGCGGGGCGAUGAGGGAGAAAUUGGUAGCCAUCCAGCCCAACCUACCGACCAUGGCAGGGGGGUGAAUCAAAUAUGUCUGUCUUCGUGUGUUUGCUUUUUUUGGACAGUUUAAGUUCUGUUCCAGACUUCAUGUGUUCUCAUUCUUGUAUUUAAUUUUUGUUUAUUAGUUUUGUCCUUUGGUCAUUUCUGAGUUCCUUGCACUCUUCAAUUUUGGAACUUCUUGAUAUUAGAAAUGGGAUUUGUUUAUCAUGGGAAGGGAAGGCCAGGCAGGCACUGCAAGUUCCACACUGCGUGCUCAUGGUAGGAUAGAAAUGGGAUUUGUUUUUGUAGGAUGAUUUAUAGACGGGGGUUCGCUAUGUGCGAUCAGGAGGAUAGUUACAUCAAGCAAGUGCGCCAGGUAGCAGAUGAGGACGCCGUCAGCGUGAGGGAUGCACUGUCGCAGCACUUGAUCGAAACUAGAGAGGACCAAGAAGUAGUAGCAUCCAGAUCAUCAGGAGAUAAAAGCAAGGACCAACGACAAAAAGCAGAUCGAGGAAAGGAAAAACUGCAUUGACAGCUAAGCUAGGGAGAUCAGAUCAUAUUGUCCUCUUGAUUGAAUCAAUCUGGUAUUCUUUUCUCCCUCUGCUAUUAAUUGUGCUUCAAGGUGCAGUUCUCUUCUUAGUUGAUUCCGUUGGUACGGCACUAAUUAACAACAGUGGAUAUGUGUCAGUGAUAUGUUGAACUACUUGGGAAGAAACUAAGCUGGUGCCUAUUAGCAACAUGCAAAGCAAAACAUUACCUGCUGAUUGACUGGCUGUGUAUAUUGCUUUCACUGUUCGAUCCUACAUUCAAUAGAGAAUUGCAUGAUUUGGACAAUUAAGUUAGCAGCGCUACGCUACUACUCCCUCCGUUCCAGAAUAGAUGACUCAACUUAAUAAACCCAGCUCUAGUCUCAUCUAUUUUGGAACAGAGGGAGUAUAUACUACCUUGAUACGCUUAAUAAACCCAGCUCUAGUCUCAUCUAGUCUAAAUCUUGAUGUAAGCAGGUGGAAGGGAGACAUCCUCAUCCUGCUGCUGCUCGGCCUGGUGGCGCGUGAAUGCAGUAGGUUGCUGUUUUCUGGUGAAAAGACAAGUGUUGUGUAAUUUAUAUUGUUGGCAACAAGCGCUUUUAUGAGGUUGAGAGAAGGACCAGUAAUGUAGCUGCAUGGUGACUAAGACUACCAUUUGUAGUUUAUAUUGUUUCAGUCGCUUGCUGUAAUCUGAAGGAAGAAUUGGUGAACAUAGUGGCGGUGAGUUGUUUAUGGACAUGUGUUUGGGCAGGAGCCAUAUGUAGCAGUUGUAAUGAUGUGUUUGGCUGCGCCUACUCUGCUUAGAGAAGAGAAGAGAAGAGAAGAGCAGAGCAGAGUGUUGAUAUUUAGAUAAGUAGUGAUGCAAGAGGUUUUUCUUUUGGCAGAGCAGAGCAGAGUCUUGAUAUCUAGAUGUCUGCCUUGCCUUUCAGUACUUGCCCUGGCCACCCUUUCUGAAAGAGUUUUCUUCUUUUGAUUUUAGAACUCUAACGUGAAUAAUUAGAUAUCAAUUAAUUAACAUGAUCAAGCAAUGAACAAGAUGGAAAGCUAUGGAAUAUCCCCCAGCAAGCAAUGAACAAGAUGGAAAGCUAUGGAAUAUCCCCCAGCAAGCAAUGAACAAGAUCAUGAAGUCAAAUCCUGCUCUGUAUGUGCUGUGGGAGAGAAUAAGAAAGGGACUUCAGUUGUAUUCAUCUGAACCCACCGAGCCAUAUCUGUCUUCACAGAACUACGGUGCGGAGGGAUGAUCAUCAAUCAAAUCAUAUGGAUAAUCCCCAAUUCAAGGAGAUGAGAUGCUAACAAGUCCAAGAUGUUGCUGAAGCCUGUCAAGACAAUGGUUACCGAACCGCAUCAUAUCUGGCCAUCAAUCUUUGACUGAUGAGCAGUGGCUCAAGAUUGAAUGUGCGCUCAGGGAUCUCAUUCUUUCUGAUCAUGCAAAUAAAAACAAUGUUAACACUUGUGCACUUACGCAAUCUGAGAUGAGAUUCGUGGUAUGAUACUUGGUGCUGAAAUAGCUCCGCGGUCACAGCAGAGGCAACAGAUAGCUGAGAUUGAGAAACAGUCCCGAGAGACAAAUCAUGUAAGCAAAUUAAGCUGCUGCCCUUACUCUAACUUUUCUGGCGUACCGAAGCCAUUGGGUCUAUCAGCGGCGGCGAAGAAAUGGGGGUUUUCUUGAUCUCUGGGGCGAUUGGGGGUUUUCUAGAGAAGUCGGCCGCCAUACUUGGGCUAUAAGGCUCGGCGAUGCGCGGGAAUAGAGGCAUCGAUGCUCGCAUCGCACCGUUGCGGUGCCGACUCAUGGCAAUCGGUGAAAAAUGGGCAGGGUGGAUGCGCGCCGACGAGCGUUCUGGCGGGAACAAAACUAAUCCAGUCCAGCCCUUGCCGCAACAUGGAGUGAUUUGACAAGUUGCGUGGGCUGACACUAGUUUUUAUCCACCCAUGUGCGAUUUUGCAGCAGCGCACACAAGUUAUUUGGUAUUGACGUAAAACUCAAUCGCACACAGGUUUGGCAGAUCAAUCGUGGCUGAUGAUUGAAUACAACGCAAACAAUUCGUAUGGAUGAAUUGUGUGCAAUGCAUCGCCCAUGGGUGCUUUAAAUGAACCAUGUCUAAUAAUUGGUUGAUCGCACACAAUUAAUUUUCCCGAACUGUGUGUACCCAAUGGCAAACAGUUUAAAAAAAAAUAAACAUGUUUCACAAAAAAAAAAGAUAAGUGUGUGCGAUGAUUCCAGUUUCACACACGUUGGUUUAUGGUGUGCCGUGUGUUCAUCACACAUGUUUAUUCUUUAUCAUGUGCGAAGGUGGGGGCUUAAUAGGACAGAUCUACACUAGUGAUAGUUCAGAGACCCCACCUGUACAUGUGCCCCUUCCAGCAACCCUAAGACCGUAUC